UAAGUUUUAUUUGUUUAUGAUUUGGUAUUGCAUAUCAUUUAAGGAAAAUUUUAUGAUUAUAAAUAAUAAAAUUGGGGUGUAGAAAAAUUUGUUAUUUUUAUUGUUUCAUAAUAGGAAUUAUAAUUUUUAGGGUUGAAAAGUCGAACCCCAGGAUAUUUGUGUUGUUUUUAGAAUUAGAAAAUUAUUUUGUUUAAGUAUUUAUAUUAUAAAAAGUAAGAGUUGAAGUAUCUUUUUUCUUAGUUUUAUAACAGUUUAUUUUUGAUGUAAUAUAAUUUUAUAUGAGUGUGUAAUAAUGUUUUAUUAUAUUAAUUGUUUUGAAAUUAGUAAUUGAGGUUAUAAAUUAAGUAUUUGUGUUAAAUAUAAUUGAAAAACUCAAAAAUUAAUCAAAUGUUUUUUAAAGACUUAGACUUUUUUAUAAAGUUUGCUUCUGCCCGGUGACGUAUGUUAAAUGGCAGUCUUAGCGUGAGGACAUUAAGGUAGCAAAAUAAUUUGUGCUUUUAUUGGGUUCCAGUAUGAAUGAAGUUAUUGGUUAAUUUAUGUUUUGAUUUUUGAAUGAAUUUUUAAUUAAUAAUAAGAAAAUGUUGUUAUAGUAAUACAAAGAUAAGUCUUCGGAAAUUCUUUUUUAAAAAUGAUAAUUAUCAUUUUUAAAAAUUUUCUAGGGCAGAAUUUUAUAUAACUAUAAUAUCUAUUUAUAAUUAAGUGAAUUACUCCGGAGUUAACAGAAAAUCAUAUCUAAUCUAGUUCUUAUAGUAAGAUAAGUUUUACAUCGAUGUUGUAUUUAAGUUUAUUAAAAAGGGAGAAAAUUUAAAUUUUAAGACUGUUCUUCUUUUAAUUAAUUUAACGUGAUAUUAGUUUAAUUCAUUGUGAGAUAGAAUUGUUUAUCUUGUUUAUUAUUUUUAAAAAGUUUUAAUAGUACGAAAGGAAAAUUAAAAAAAGUUUUAAACUUUUAAAAGAUAAUUCUUA
rnacentral:rRNA from 1 species